rnacentral:rRNA from 1 species
UACGUAGGGGGCAAGCGUUUGUCCGGAAUUAUUGGGCGUAAAGAGCGUGUAGGCGGUCCGGUAAGUCAGCUGUGAAAGUCAAGGGCUCAACCCUUGAAUGCCGGUUGAUACUGUCGGGCUAGAGUCCGGAAGAGGCGAGUGGAAUUCCCGGUGUAGCGGUGAAAUGCGCAGAUAUCGGGAGGAACACCAAUGGCGAAGGCAGCUCGCUGGGACGGUACUGACGCUGAGACGCGAAAGCGUGGGGAGCAAACAGG